AUGUCGAUCUGGCGCUAGUUUUCGCAGCGGCUGAGUUUUGAGGAUACUCCAACACCAGUCAAUAAGUAAGCUCACAGUUAAACGUUUCUUCGCGAAGUGUGACUUUGGGGUUACUGUAUUUAAAAAUAAAUUCAAGCCAUAAAUGCCUUCAUAUAGCCCAGCUGUACUCAAAGUCCAUUCCAAUUGUUUGGAUACCACUGGAAAAAUGCACCAUAAAGACAAUAGCUGAGAAGGCCCAGCUGUACAGAUGGGUGCAAGGGGGACCUGCAGGAGAAUGAUGGCUGCGUCCAAUCGGAGAGGGAGGCUGCCUGCUGCGACCAAUCAGAAAGGGAGGGUGCUGGUUGGGACCAGUCGGAAAGGGUUGUGUAACCCAACGGGCUCGUCUGUGAUUGGUGGAUGUGGUCCCUGUGUACUCCUCUAUGAUUGGUGGAGUUGAUGGAAGAGGUGACCAUGUUGCCCACGGUGAUGUCAGAAACUCCUCCAGAUCAGUACAGGUGGGUUCAGGUGUGCAGGGAGGUAUGUUUGAUCCCAGACUGUGCGUGCGUGCGUGCGUGCGGGUAGAGCGAGAGAGCUCCAGUGUUUCGGCUUGCAGUGCUACAGUUCCCCAGUGUGAAGAACAGCUCAGCCUCUAAUCAGCCUCUAAAUAGCCUCUAAUCAGCCUCUAAUAAGCCUGUAAUGAGCCUCUAAGGAGCCUCUGAUGCGUUUCCUCUCUCCAGACGGAUCUGAACUCAGUCGCUGCUUUUGGGUUUCAGUCUGUCCCUCUGUCCUGUUCUCUCUUUCCUCAAGUGCCAAUAAAGACCUCAUUUUCAGUA